UACGUAGGGAGCAAGCGUUGUCCGGAAUCAUUGGGCGUAAAGCGCGCGUAGGUGGCUUCGUAAGUCCGUUGUGAAAGUCAAAGGCUCAACCUUUGAAAGCCGAUGGAUACUGUGAAGCUAGAGUACGGAAGAGGCGAGUGGAAUUCCUGGUGUAGCGGUGGAAUGCGCAGAUAUCAGGAGGAACACCGAUGGCGAAGGCAGGUCUCUGGGCCGAUACUGACGCUGAGGAGCGAAAGCGUGGGGAGCAAACAGG
rnacentral:rRNA from 1 species